rnacentral:ncRNA from 1 species
ACAAUCCUUCGGGGCAGGGUGAAAUUCCCUACCGACGGUGAUGGCUGAAACGGAUAGCGGCGAUUUUCGCCGGUCGGUAUUAAUCCCCUCCGUUUCAAGCACGAGUCCGUGACCCGCGAAGCGCUGAACAAGCGCAAGCGGCUGAGCCGGUGCGAUUCCGGGACCGACAGUAUAGUCUGGAUGGGAGAAGGAAAAC